CUGGGAAGCGCUGUGAAAUGGGCUGGGAUGUCUUCUUACAAGUUGGAGCAUUAGAGGUGUUUUUCUCUCUGUUCAACUGCCUGGGCACUCUGGGUAAAUGUACUGUUUACCUGUGGAGAAGAAGAUGAGGCUCCCGAGCCAGCCGGGAGGACACUUACUACAGCUGCUCAGAAGCACCACUGGAAACUCAGGUAAUACCGGCACUUUGAAUUCCUUGUUUCAGGAAAAUAUCUGCG
rnacentral:lncRNA from 1 species